GUAUUUCCAGAUUUCGACCAAUAAGUCGAAAUGGCUGGUGACGUUUGUCACCGGCCU
rnacentral:sRNA from 1 species